rnacentral:rRNA from 1 species
UACAGAGGUGGCAAGCGUUGUUCGGAAUUACUGGGCGUAAAGGGCGCGUAGGCGGCCGCCUAAGUCAGACGUGAAAUCCCCAAGCUUAACUUGGGAACUGCGUCUGAUACUGGGUGGCUUGAGUUCGGGAGAGGAAUGUGGAAUUCCAGGUGUAGCGGUGAAAUGCGUAGAUAUCUGGAGGAACACCGGUGGCGAAGGCGGCAUCCUGGACCGACACUGACGCUGAGGCGCGAAAGCUAGGGUAGCAAACGGG